rnacentral:lncRNA from 1 species
UCUAUUUCGAUGUCUGUUAAAAUCCUAUGAAUCAAUGAGAACCAGUUAUCAUACAAAUGCAAACAACAAGUGACGAGGCUAUGCCCAAUUUUUUUUAAUACACACAAAAAAGGUCAAAUACACAGCAAAUGUCAUUCAUCUGACAUCAUUAUUUGCUUUAUUUAAUUAUUUCUCCAUUAUGAAAAUGGUCUUACACUUAAGGCCUAGGUACUUGCCGCGGGUGGAGGUGGUAGCUUUAUUUCUGGAACAUGAUAACCUGCAAAAUUUCAUUCUUCACAUCAUAAUGAUGAACAUGAGAAAUUAUAUAAAGUGUGUGUGUGUGUGUAUAUAUAUAUAUAUAUAUGUGUGUGUGUGUGUGUGUGUGUGUGUGUGUGUGUGUGUGUGUGUGUGUUUGUGUGUUUGUGUGUGUUUGCGCAAAUAUAUGACAAUAUACCAACCUGCACAGUGAGUGCAUGUGUGCAACCCAUUGCCGCAUACAUGUGUAGCCAUGGCAAACUUGGCUAGACUGAGCAAAGUCAGUUCAUGAGCGGUGAACCGAUCACAGACGCAGUGGAUGUCUUUUGCAUCUCUUAUUGUAUUGCAACAUGCGCUACGGAGUGGCGGGUACUGGUCACCAAGUUUCUUUUCGAUGUGAUGCCAACAGUCUCGCAUCACCUUUUUUUUAUCAAGGAGGCAGUGAUCUAUGUCGUUGGCUGCUCGUGCAUGGAGCGAACAAGAAGAGAGAGCCACAAGCACUAGGAAGCAUAACACUCCAGCUACUUUUCCGUUGUUCAUGAUCUAUGUUGUGUAGCACUAUUGGUAUGUGUUUAUGCAGGACUUCUGUGCCACUCAGUCUCUAUAUAUAGUGGUCAUAGUGAAGCUUUUAGACUCCAUUCGCUCAUCAAUCGCUUAAUUGGACUCUUUUAACUAAGUGAGAGAUAUAUGACUUGGAUAUGUUAUAAUCUAAUGUUUGCACAUUUAUAUCUUGUAUAAAGUUGUUGGCAAUGGAUGUGGAUGCAACCUAUUAAUUAUUGGCAAUGGAGUAGUUGAUUUCGAACUCUUAACAGAUAUGUGUACAUAAUUUGGGUAUGUUCAUAAUUAAUGUAGGGACAUGUGUGGUCCUUGUAGUAUCACAUCGAUAGUAAAGGAUACUUCUAAUUAAAUAUAGCUAGGUGCAUCCAUUUCUUGUAUCAUAUUGAUGGUAACGGAUAUGUAGAUAAGCCUAUUUAUUUGUCUAUCUAUCUAUAUAUCUAUCUCUAUCACUAUCUCUAUCUCUAUCUCUAUCUCCAUCUAUCUAUCUAUCUAUCUAUCUACCUAUCCAUAUCUAUAUCUAUCUCUAUCUCUAUCUCUAUCUCUAUCUCUAUCUAUCUAUCUAUCUAUUUAUCUAUCUAUCUAUGUCUAUAUCUAUCUGAUACUAAUAACAGACUCCCUACAUAUUAAAACAUUAAUCAGUGAAAACAAGAAAUAGAAACCAGUGAUUUUAGCUUGCCUGAAUUACUACGAUUACGAUCUAUUAAUAAAUCCAUUGGAUAUUUCAAUUGAAAAACAGAACUUGGAUCUCAAUCAGGGAAAAAAAGGAAAAGAUAUGAUGCAAUCUAAACAACCGUUCAGAUUUGACACGGUAGCUGAGACGUCAUGCAAUUGUCAAAAUCAUGAUCGUGUUUCUUUGUGACUAACCAAGAUACGACCUGAUUCGUAUAUCUCCAGCCAAUUUGCAGUCCAUCAAUUAUUCCAUUGCCAUCUCAUGGCCUUGGCUUGGACGAACUAGGCCACAUGAUAAAGCAGUCCCAAUGUAAUCUCUGUGACCUUCUCAGCAUUCGCCAUGCCUGUUCCUAGCCAUGGAUAUCUGCCGGCACCAACCAGCACACAAACUGUAAGUAGAGAAGACAAUCGAGGGUUAUGGUUAUAGGGAUUUACACAUAGUUUUCUUAUCUUUUAGAUACACUGAGGAUGUUGUUACAGUGAUGGAACAUACGUUUGGCUACCUAUAUGCUCAACAUAGGGUGGUGCAUAUUUGAUUCCAUCAAUAAUUUAACGCACUAACCGACAUGGAAUCUUUCUUUGUCUUUUGUUCUUUUUUACAUCCUCCGCUAGUUCUUGCAAUCUUCUAAAUAACUCACGUUCAGUUGGUAACUAUUUGUUCAUAGAGUUCUUUCAUGAUCAGUAGAAACUUGAUAUGUGUUGACACUGGCAUUGGCGGCCCAAAAUAAGAAUAUGAAAAUGUUGCGUUAAUUAUUUCUCCAUUAUUCUUUGCUUUAUUUUAUUAUUUCUCCAUUAUGAAAAUGGUCUUACACUUAAGGCCUAGGUACUUGCCGCGGGUGGAGGUGGUAGCUUUAUUUCUGGAACAUGAUAACCUGCAAAAUUUCAUUCUUCACAUCAUAAUGAUGAACAUGAGAAAUUAUAUAAAGUGUGUGUGUGUGUGUGUGUGUGUGUGUGUGUGUGUGUGUGUGUGUGUGUGUGUAUUUGUGUGUGUGUUUGUGUGUUUGUGUGUGUUUGCGCAAAUAUAUGACAAUAUACCAACCUGCACAGUGAGUGCCUGUGUGCAACCCAUUGCCGCAUACAUGUGUAGCCAUGGCAAACUUGGCUAGACAGAGCAAAGUCAGUUCGUGAGCGGUGAACCGAUCACAGACGCAGUGGAUGUCUNNN